UGAGGAAUAUUGGACAAUGGUCGGAAGACUGAUCCAGCCAUGCCGCGUGCAGGAUGACGGCCUUAUGGGUUGUAAACUGCUUUUGUAUGGGAAGAAUAAGGUCUACGUGUAGAUUGAUGACGGUACCAUACGAAUAAGCAUCGGCUAACUCCGUGCCAGCAGCCGCGGUAAUACGGAGGAUGCGAGCGUUAUCCGGAAUCAUUGGGUUUAAAGGGUCCGUAGGCGGGCUUAUAAGUCAGAGGUGAAAGCACUGAGCUCAACUGAGUAACUGCCUUUGAAACUGUAGGUCUUGAAUAUUUGUGAAGUAGCUGGAAUGUGUAGUGUAGCGGUGAAAUGCAUAGAUAUUACACAGAACACCAAUUGCGAAGGCAUGUUACUAACAAAUUAUUGACGCUGAUGGACGAAAGCGUGGGGAGCGAGCAG
rnacentral:rRNA from 1 species